CGGGCGUUUUCCGGAUUAUUGGGCGUAAGAGCUCGUAGGCGGUUUGUCGCGUCUGCCGUGAAAGUCCGGGGCUCAACUCCGGAUCUGCGGUGGGUACGGGCAGACUAGAGUGAUGUAGGGGAGACUGGAAUUCCUGGUGUAGCGGUGAAAUGCGCAGAUAUCAGGAGGAACACCGAUGGCGAAGGCAGGUCUCUGGGCAUUAACUGACGCUGAGGAGCGAAAGCAUGGGGAGCGAACAGGAUUAGAUACCCUGGUAGUCCAUGCCGUAAACGUUGGGCACUAGGUGUGGGGGACAUUCCACGUUUUCCGCGCCGUAGCUAACGCAUUAAGUGCCCCGCCUGGGGAGUACGGCCGCAAGGCUAAAACUCAAAGGAAUUGACGGGGGCCCGCACAAGCGGCGGAGCAUGCGGAUUAAUUCGAUGCAACGCGAAGAACCUUACCAAGGCUUGACAUGAACCGGUAAGACCUGGAAACAGGUCCCCCACUUGUGGCCGGUUUACAGGUGGUGCAUGGUUGUCGUCAGCUCGUGUCGUGAGAUGUUGGGUUAAGUCCCGCAACGAGCGCAACCCUCGUUCCAUGUUGCCAGCGCGUUAUGGCGGGGACUCAUGGGAGACUGCCGGGGUCAACUCGGAGGAAGGUGGGGACGACGUCAAAUCAUCAUGCCCCUUAUGUCUUGGGCUUCACGCAUGCUACAAUGGCCGGUACAAAGGGUUGCGAUACUGUGAGGUGGAGCUAAUCCCAAAAAGCCGGUCUCAGUUCGGAUUGGGGUCUGCAACUCGACCCCAUGAAGUCGGAGUCGCUAGUAAUCGCAGAUCAGCAACGCUGCGGUGAAUACGUUCCCGGGCCUUGUACACACCGCCCGUCAAGUCACGAAAGUUGGUAACACCCGAAGCCGGUGGCCUAACCCCUUGUGGGAGGGAGCUGUCGAAGGUGGGACUGGCGAUUGGGACUAAGUCGUAACAAGGUAAC
rnacentral:rRNA from 1 species